AGUAGCUCAGCGGACAGAGCAACGGCCUUCUAAGCCGUGGGCCGGGGGUUCGAAUCCCUCCUG
rnacentral:tRNA from 1 species